rnacentral:rRNA from 1 species
CGGUUGACCUCGGAUCAGGUA